rnacentral:rRNA from 1 species
AGAGUUUGAUCCUGGCUCAGAACGAACGCUGGCGGCGUGGCUAACACAUGCAAGUCGAACGCGAACGGCUCUUCGGAGCUUAUUAGAGUGGCGAAAGGGCGAGGAAUACUUGGGUAACGUACCCUACACACCGGGAUAACUGUGGGAAACUACAGAUAAUACUGGAUGAGACCACGACUCGUAAGAGUUGUGCUCAAAGGGCGGGGAUCUCUUCGGAGACCCGUUGGUGUGGGAGCGGCCCAAGUCCUAUCAGGUUGUUGGUGAGGUAAUGGCUCACCAAGCCUACGACGGGUACCGGGACUGAGAGGUUGAUCCGGCGCAUUGGGACUGAGACACUGCCCAGACUCCUACGGGAGGCUGCAGUAACGAAUAUUGGACAAUGAGCGAAAGCUUGAUCCAGCGACGCCGCGUGUAGGAUGAAGUCCCUCGGGAUGUAAACUACUGUCAGGGACUACCAAGCAAGGACUGUUAAUACCGGUCUGCGUUGAGGAAUCCCAGAGGAAGCCACGGCUAACUUCGUGCCAGCAGCCGCGGUAAGACGAAGGUGGCGAGCGUUGUUCGGAAUUACUGGGCUUAAAGCGCAUGUAGGCGGAUCAUCAGGUGUCUUGUGAAAGCCCUCGGCUCAACCGAGGAACUGCUGGGCAAACCGAUGAUCUUGAGGCAGGUAGGGGCAACGGGAACUCUUGGUGGAGCGGUGGAAUGCGUAGAUAUCAAGAGGAACGCCAGAGGCGAAGGCGCGUUGCUGGGCCUGUCCUGACGCUGAGAUGCGAAAGCGUGGGUAGCGAACGGGAUUAGAUACCCCGGUAGUCCACGCCCUAAACGAUGUCAACCAGAUCGAGGGUUCUCUGGCGGAUUCUUGGUCGAAAUGAAAACGGUAAGUUGACCGCCUGGGGAGUACGGUCGCAAGGCUAAAACUCAAAGGAAUUGACGGGGGCUCACACAAGCGGUGGAGCAUGUUGCUUAAUUCGAUCAACGCGAAGAACCUUAUCCUGGGCUUGACAUAUUUGGAUGACCAUCUGGAAACAGAGUAGUCUGCUCUUCGGAGUGAAACUUAUACAGGUGCUGCAUGGCUGUCGUCAGCUCGUGUCGUGAGAUGUUGGGUUAAGUCCCGUAACGAGCGAAACCCUUGUCGUUAGUUGCCAGCGCGUUAUGGCGGGGACUCUAGCGAGACUGCCGGUGUUAAACCGGAGGAAGGUGGGGAUGACGUCAAGUCCUCAUGGCCUUUAUGCCCAGGGCUGCAAACGUGCUACAAUGGCGUGUACAAACCGACGCAAGACCGCGAGGUGGAGCAAAUCGGAAAAAACACGCCCCAGUUCGGAUUGGAGUCUGCAACUCGACUCCAUGAAGUCGGAAUCGCUAGUAAUCGCGUAUCAGCGUGACGCGGUGAAUAAGUUCCUGAGCCUUGUACACACCGCCCGUCAAGUCAUGGAAGCUGGUAGCACCCGAAGUCGCCCUAUUUCAGGGGUGCCGAAGGUGAGAUCGGUAACUGGGACUAAGUCGUAACAAGGUA